rnacentral:rRNA from 1 species
UACGUAGGGUCCGAGCGUUGUCCGGAAUUACUGGGCGUAAAGAGCUCGUAGGUGGUUUGUCGCGUUGUUCGUGAAAACUCACAGCUCAACUGUGGGCGUGCGAGCGAUACGGGCAGACUUGAGUACUGCAGGGGAGACUGGAAUUCCUGGUGUAGCGGUGGAAUGCGCAGAUAUCAGGAGGAACACCGGUGGCGAAGGCGGGUCUCUGGGCAGUAACUGACGCUGGAGGAGCGAAAGCGUGGGGAGCGAACAGG